UUUUUUUUUUUUCACUGGAGAAUUCCCAGAAAAAGAAAGAAUUUCUUUGGGAAAAACCAAUUUUUAAUGGGAUUUCUUGGACUGGGAAGGAGAGCUCAUCCCAAAACUCCUAAAAAUUCUGGGAAUGAGAGGAGAUUUUUCCCGCCAUUCCUUUUCCUACUUUUCCCAACUCAGGACUUUUCCAAUUUCAUUUGGAAGCUGCUAUUCCCAAAUUUCCCAAUUUUCCCAUGCUCCAAGAUUUUUAUUUAUCCUUGGGAGACCUCAGGGGUGAUCCCACACCUUGGAUAAUCCCGUGUUUCUUUGGAAUUCUGGGGGGCUUGGCAAAAAAAAAAAAAAAAAAAAAGGAUUUUUCCCGGAUUUUGGGAAAUUCUGGGAAAACAAAGAGAAAUUAUGGAAUAAAAACUCCAAUCCCAGCUGGAUUCCUGCUCUGCCAACCCCAGAGGUGCUUUGUACUCCGAGCUGGAAUUUCCCUUUGGAAAAAGAAUAUUUGGGAUAUUCCCAAUGGAUAUUUGGGAUGCUGUUCCCAGCAUCCCAAAAUAAUUUAACAAAUAGCCUAAAAAAAAUCUUAUUUUUGACAGUUUUUAUCCUGUUUUUUUUUUUAUUUUUCCUGGGAUUUUUUUUUCUUUUCUUAUCCAGGAAAAUAAAACUCCCCAAGCUUUUUCCAGCUGUUUUUUCCCAAGUUUUCCUGAUUUUCUAAAUUAAGGAAAGUGCUCCUUGGUAUUUUUGGAAAAGAAGAAUUGGAAAUCCAACGCCUUCAAAAAUUGGGAUUUUUGUUGUUUUUCCCUUGGGAUUUCUUCAUUUUUCCCAGGAAUUUUUUGCCUUAUCCAGGUGACUCUGGGAAAACAAACCCCCCCCAGGUUUUUUCCUCCCAUUUUCCCCAGAUUUUAUCCUUUAAUUAAUAACAGAUUAAUUACUAUAUUAACUAAUUAAGAAUUAAUAUAUUAACGAGAGACUCUCACUGGAAGUUUGCCAGGAAUUUUUAUUUAAAUAAAUCUCUUGGAAUUUUGAAGA